CAAGAAAUGAAGGUUGAUUGUAAAAGUUGCUCUCGGUCGAUAAACACAUCGAGCAAAACAGUUGAGCGAUUUCAGACGAUGUCUACAAGACCUUUCAAGUUUCUAGCAGGAAUCGAAAGUUGUAAGACCUUGACGGGAGGAAGAGGAGAGAAACGGAAAGCGGAUGAUGAUUUUCAGAGAGUUUCUGGUGGAGGUAAAUCAUACGCUCUGCGGAAACGCAUCAAAGUUUCAGAGAUGGAGAACACAAGAGACACUGAGAUGACCAGUUUUCAGGAGAAAACCAGCUCAGGAGGAAGAGGAGAGAAGCGGAAAGCAGAUGAUGCUUUUCAGAGUGUUUCUGGUGGAGGCAAACCAUCUGCCCACCGGAAACGCAUUAAAGUUACAGAGCUGGAGAACACAAGAGAAGACGCCGACACAGAGGCGUCCAGCUCAGGAGGAAGAGGAGUGAAGAGGAAAGCGGAUGAUGAUUUGCAGAGUGUUUCUGACAGAGUCAAACCAUACGCUCUGCGGAAACGCAUCAAAGCUGCAGAGACGUCCAGCGAUGAGAACAGCCGCUCAGGAGGAAGAGGAGUGAAGCGGAAAGCGGAUGAUGAUUUUCAGAGUGUUUCUGGUGAAGGCAAACCAUACGCUCUGAGGAAACGCAUCAAAGCUGCAGAGCUGGAGAACACAAGAGACGCCGCCGACACAGAGGCGUCCAGCUCAGGUCAGUCCACUCUUUAUGACUGGAAAAUGCUGGAAAACUAUU
ensembl:processed_transcript